rnacentral:rRNA from 1 species
UACGUAGGGUGCGAGCGUUUGUCCGGAUUUAUUGGGCGUAAAGGGCUCGUAGGCGGCGUGUCGCGUCGGGAGUGAAAGCCCGUUGCUUAACGGCGGGUUGGCUUUCGGUACGGGCAUGCUGGAGUGCGGCAGGGGAGACUGGAAUUCCUGGUGUAGCGGUGGAAUGCGCAGAUAUCAGGAGGAACACCGGUGGCGAAGGCGCCACUCUGGGCCACGACUGACGCUGAGGAGCGAAAGCAUGGGUAGCAAACAGG